CCUACGGGAGGCAGCAGUGGGGAAUAUUUGCACAAUGGGGGGAAACCCUGAUGCAGCGACGCCGCGUGGAGGAAGAAGGUCUUCGGAUUGUAAACUCCUGUUGUUUGAGGAAGAUAAUGACGGUACUCAACAAGGAAGUGACGGCUAACUACGUGCCAGC
rnacentral:rRNA from 1 species